AGCAACAGGGAUUGCCUUAGUAGCGGCGAGUGAAGCGGCAAAAGCUCAAAUUUGAAAUCUGGCACCUUCGGUGUCCGAGUUGUAAUUUGAAGAUUGUAACCUUGGGGUUGGCUCUUGUCUAUGUUUCUUGGAACAGGACGUCACAGAGGGUGAGAAUCCCGUGCGAUGAGAUGCCCAAUCCUAUGUAAGGUGCUUUCGAAGAGUCGAGUUGUUUGGGAAUGCAGCUCUAAGUGGGUGGUAAAUUCCAUCUAAAGCUAAAUAUUGGCGAGAGACCGAUAGCGAACAAGUACAGUGAUGGAAAGAUGAAAAGAACUUUGAAAAGAGAGUGAAAAAGUACGUGAAAUUGUUGAAAGGGAAGGGUUUGAGAUCAGACUCGAUAUUUUGUGAGCCUUGCCUUCGUGGCGGGGUGACCCGCAGCUUAUCGGGCCAGCAUCGGUUUGGGCGGUAGGAUAAUGGCGUAGGAAUGUGACUUUGCUUCGGUGAAGUGUUAUAGCCUGCGUUGAUGCUGCCUGCCUAGACCGUAGGACUGCGAUUUAUCAAGG
rnacentral:rRNA from 1 species